AUGGGAACGCGAAGAACCUUACCUAGACUUGACAUCUCCUGAAUAGUGUAGAGAUACGUGAAGCCCUUCGGGGCAGGAAGACAGGUGGUGCAUGGUUGUCGUCAGCUCGUGUCGUGAGAUGUUGGGUUAAGUCCCGCAACGAGCGCAACCCUUAUUACUAGUUGCUACCAUUAAGUUGAGCACUCUAGUGAGACUGCCCGGGUUAACCGGGAGGAAGGCGGGGAUGACGUCAAAUCAUCAUGCCCCUUAUGUCUAGGGCUACACACGUGCUACAAUGGUGGGAACAAAGAGAUGCAAUACCGCAAGGUGGAGCUAAACUCAAAACCCCAUCCCAGUUCGGAUUGUAGGCUGAAACUCGCCUACAUGAAGCUGGAGUUGCUAGUAAUCGCGAAUCAGAAUGUCGCGGUGAAUACGUUCCCGGGUCUUGUACACACCG
rnacentral:rRNA from 1 species